UACAGAGGUCUCAAGCGUUUGUUCGGAUUCAUUGGGCGUAAAGGGUGCGUAGGUGGCGCGGUAAGUCGGGUGUGAAAUUUCGGAGCUUAACUCCGAAACUGCAUUCGAUACUGCCGUGCUUGAGGACUGGAGAGGAGACUGGAAUUUACGGUGUAGCAGUGAAAUGCGUAGAUAUCGUAAGGAAGACCAGUGGCGAAGGCGGGUCUCUGGACAGUUCCUGACACUGAGGCACGGAAGGCCAGGGGGAGCAAACGGGG
rnacentral:rRNA from 1 species